UGGGGAAUUUUGGACAAUGGGGGAAACCCUGAUCCAGCCAUCUCGCGUGUGCGAUGAAGGCCUUCGGGUUGUAAAGCACUUUUGGCAGGAAAGAAACGUCAUGGGUUAAUACCCCGUGAAACUGACGGUACCUGCAGAAUAAGCACCGGCUAACUACGUGCCAGCAGCCGCGGUAAUACGUAGGGUGCAAGCGUUAAUCGGAAUUACUGGGCGUAAAGCGUGCGCAGGCGGUUCGGAAAGAAAGAUGUGAAAUCCCAGAGCUCAACUUUGGAACUACAUUUUUAACUACCUGGCUAGAGUGUGACAGAGGGAGGGGGAAUUCCGCGUGUAGCAGUGAAAUGCAUAGAUAUGCGGAGAAACACCGAUAGCGAAGGCAGCCUCCUGGGAUAACACUGACGCUCAUGCACGAAAGCGUGGGGAGCAAACAGG
rnacentral:rRNA from 1 species